UCCGGGCAUUUGCCAUCCAUCGGUCUG
rnacentral:misc_RNA from 1 species